UACAGAGGUCUCAAGCGUUGUUCGGAUUCAUUGGGCGUAAAGGGUGCGUAGGUGGCGCUGUAAGUCGGGUGUGAAAUUUCGGAGCUUAACUCCGAAACUGCAUUCGAUACUGUGGUGCUUGAGGACUGGAGAGGAGACUGGAAUUCAUGGUGUAGCAGUGAAAUGCGUAGAGAUCAUGAGGAAGACCAGUGGCGAAGGCGGGUCGUCUGGACAGUUCCUGACACUGAGGCACGAAGGCCAGGGGAGCAAACGGG
rnacentral:rRNA from 1 species